ensembl:snRNA U1 U1 spliceosomal RNA
GAAGUUACCUGGCAGAGGCGAUACCAUGAUCAAGUAGGUGGUUUUCCUAAGGUGAGGCUCAUCUGGCACUCAGGGCAUGCUGCCUCCUUUGAUUUCCCCAUGUGGGGCAAACUUUGUGUCGUUUGUGGUAGUGAGGGACUGUGUUCACACUUUAA